GACGAACGCUAGCGGCGUGCUUAACACAUGCAAGUCGAACGGUGAAGCGCCUUCCUUUUUGGUGGGUGUGGAUGAGUGGCGAACGGGUGAGUAACACGUGAGUAACCUGCCCCCUUCUUCUGGAUAACCGCAUGAAAGUGUGGCUAAUACGGGAUAUUCUGGGUCUGUCGCAUGAUGGGUCUGGGAAAGAUAUUGUUUCGGUGGGGGAUGGGCUCGCGGCCUAUCAGCUUGUUGGUGGGUGAUGGCCUACCAAGGCGGUGACGGGUAGCCGGCCUGAGAGGGUGGACGGUCACACUGGGACUGAGACACGGCCCAGACUCCUACGGGAGGCAGCAGUGGGGAAUAUUGCACAAUGGGCGCAAGCCUGAUGCAGCGACGCCGCGUGAGGGAUGGAGGCCUUCGGGUUGUGAACCUCUUUCGCCAGUGAAGCAGGCCUGCCUCGUUUGUGGGUGGGUUGACGGUAGCUGGAUAAGAAGCGCCGGCUAACUACGUG
rnacentral:rRNA from 1 species